ACUGGGCCACGCAGGGCGGCCGCGUCAAGACCGACUGGUCCAAGGCGCCCUUCGUCGCCAACUACGACAACAUCCACCUCAACAUCUGCGAGUGCGGCUCCGGCGGGUACGGCGGCGGCUGCGCCACCGGCUGCCCGGCCGCCGCCGCCACGCCGUACAACGGGGCGUGCCAGCUGAGCCCCGCGGAGCUGGGGCAGAUGCAGUGGGUGCAGGGCACCUACAGGAUCUACGACUACUGCGUCGACUACAAGCGGUGGGUCAAUGGCCAGAAGCCGGUCG
rnacentral:lncRNA from 1 species